UGGGGAAUUUUGGACAAUGGGCGAAAGCCUGAUCCAGCAAUGCCGCGUGUGUGAAGAAGGCCUUCGGGUUGUAAAGCACUUUUGUCCGGAAAGAAAUCCUUGGCUCUAAUACAGUCGGGGGAUGACGGUACCGGAAGAAUAAGCACCGGCUAACUACGUGCCAGCAGCCGCGGUAAUACGUAGGGUGCAAGGCGUUAAUCGGAAUUACUGGGCGUAAAGCGUGCGCAGGCGGUUUGCUAAGACCGAUGUGAAAUCCCCGGGCUCAACCUGGGAACUGCAUUGGUGACUGGCAGGCUAGAGUAUGGCAGGAGGGGGGUAGAAUUCCACGUGUAGCAGUGAAAUGCGUAGAGAUGUGGAGGAAUACCGAUGGCGAAGGCAGCCCCCUGGGGCCAAUACUGACGCUCAUGCACG
rnacentral:rRNA from 1 species